GAUCCUGGCUCAGGAUGAACGCUAGCGGCAGGCUUAACACAUGCAAGUCGAGGGGCAGCAUAAUGGAUAGCAAUAUCUAUGGUGGCGACCGGCGCACGGGUGCGUAACGCGUAUGCAACCUACCUUUAACAGGGGGAUAACACUGAGAAAUUGGUACUAAUUCCCCAUAACAUUCGAGAAGGCAUCUUCUUGGGUUAAAAACUCCGGUGGUUAAAGAUGGGCAUGCGUUGUAUUAGCUAGUUGG
rnacentral:rRNA from 1 species